rnacentral:rRNA from 1 species
AGGGAAUCUUGCGCAAUGGGCGAAUGCCUGACGCAGCGAUACCGCGUGAGUGAGGAAGGCCUUCGGGUUGUAAAGCUCUGUCCUAGGGGAAAAAUGACAUAUAUGAUAAUAGUAUGUAUGUUUGAUGGUACCUUAGAAGAAAGCACCGGCUAACUUCGUGCCAGCAGCCGCGGUAAUACGAAGGGUGCAAGCGUUGUUCGGAUUUAUUGGGCGUAAAGGGCGCGUAGGCGGAUAGAUAAGUCAGGUGUGAAAUCUCGGAGCUCAACUCCGAAACUGCGCCUGAAACUGUUUAUCUAGAAUGUCAGAGAGGGAGAGAGAAUUUCGCAUGUAGGAGUAAAAUCCGUAGAGAUGCGAAGGAAUACCAGAGGCGAAGGCGCUUUCCUGGAUGACAAUUGACGCUGAGGCGCGAAAGCGUGGGGAGCAAAC